rnacentral:rRNA from 1 species
AUACGUAGGGGGCGAGCGUUGUCCGGAAUGAUUGGGCGUAAAGGGCGCGUAGGCGGCCCGGUAAGUCUGGAGUGAAAGUCCUGUUUUUAAGAUGGGAAUUGCUUUGGAUACUGUCGGGCUUGAGUGCAGGAGAGGUAAGUGGAAUUCCCAGUGUCGCGGUGAAAUGCGUAGAGAUUGGGAGGAACACCAGUGGCGAAGGCGACUUACUGGACUGUAACUGACGCUGAGGCGCGAAAGUGUGGGGAGCAAACAGGAUUAGAUACCCUGGUAGUCCACACUGUAAACGAUGAAUGCUAGGUGUAGGGGGUAUCGACCCCUUCUGUGCCGCAGUCAACACAAUAAGCAUUCCGCCUGGGGAGUACGGCCGCAAGGUUGAAACUCAAAUGAAUUGACGGGG